rnacentral:rRNA from 1 species
UACGUAGGGGGCAAGCGUUGUCCGGAAUUAUUGGGCGUAAAGCGCGCGCAGGCGGGUCCUUUAAGUCUGAUGUGAAAGUCCACGGCUCAACCGUGGGAUUGCAUUGGAAACUGGGGGACUUGAGUGCAGUAGAAGGAGAGGUGGAAUUCCUGGUGUAGCGGUGAAAUGCGUAGAGAUCAGGAGGAACAUCGAAUGGCGAAGG